rnacentral:lncRNA from 1 species
AACAGAGAACAUUUCUGCAGCCUGACCUACCACCUGGUAGAAACCAGAGAUCCCAGGCCUACUUGAUCUUGUCCAUUUGGCACUGCUGGAGGAAUAACAAGUUUCUUCCCAUCAUGCAUCUUUCUGGGAUACAUCAUGACAGAGAAAUCUCAAAGCCCAGGUCAAUUAUAACAGAAGAUGUGUAGCACCUCUGCCCCCACUGCGUCUUCUGGGGAUCCACUUGGCAAAAUGAUAUAAAACUAUUUUUGAAGACUUCCCAUGAUCUGGCACUACUUAGAACUAAGUUACUGGCACAAUGUAAGGAGAUAUGCAAACGCAGCUCAGCUGCUCUGCCCCUGUUUGCCAAGGAGCCAACCAACAUCACGUGUGAGGAGGGGCUGAGGCUGGCAGAGCCCUCACUGAAAGAAAACGGGUUGCUUUUGGUGGAAAGAAUCAGAUGUGCAGCCCUGCUCCAGACAGCUUGUGGUUUGCAGGAGAGCAGAGGUCUGCCUGCAAGUUACAGCAGCAGAAGAGGAAACAGGAUCACUCAGCAAGACCUGGUACAAAGAAACCCCCAAGAAGUCUUAGUAAGU